rnacentral:ribozyme from 1 species
AAAAAAAAAAAAAAAAAAAAAUCUAGAACCAAACAUCACCUGGGAGUUCUUACAUCUUGGGAUGGUAUUUUCACUUGCAUCCGAACUCUAUCUAAAACUGGCUGUAAACUUUCUAAAUGUGCAACAGGAUGAUCGACUGCACUAGCAUCAUCAGUAAGGGUGGGACAAUUACUUCCAUU